rnacentral:rRNA from 1 species
CAGUAGCCACGGGAAUACGGAGGGGGCUAGCGUUGUUCGGAAUUACUGGGCGUAAAGCGCACGUAGGCGGCUUUACAAGUCAGAGGUGAAAGCCUGGAGCUCAACUCCAGAAUUGCCUUUGAGACUGUAUCGCUUGAGCACGGGAGAGGUGAGUGGAAUUCCGAGUGUAGAGGUGAAAUUCGUAGAUAUUCGGAAGAACACCAGUGGCGAAGGCGGCUCACUGGACCGUUGUUGACGCUGAGGUGCGAAAGCGUGGGGAGCAAACAGGAUUAGAUACCCCGGUAGUCCCUGUCUCUUAUAC